rnacentral:rRNA from 1 species
GAUCCUGGCUCAGAGUGAACGCUGGCGGUAGGCCUAACACAUGCAAGUCGAACGGCAGCACAGGAGAGCUUGCUCUCUGGGUGGCGAGUGGCGGACGGGUGAGGAACACAUCGGAAUCUACUCUGUCGUGGCGGAUAACGUAGGGAAACUUACGCUAAUACCGCAUACGACCUACGGGUGAAAGUGGGGGACCUUCGGGCCUCACGCGAUUGAAUGAGCCGAUGUCGGAUUAGCUAGUUGGACGGGGG